rnacentral:lncRNA from 1 species
AAUGUGGGCUUCUGAGGCGAAGGCCAGGCUUUCCUGAGGAAGGUGGAGGAGCCAGCUCAUAUGGUCCUGCAGAAAAACAAAAUUCUGCCAGAAAAUUGUAUGGAAACUGUUCUCAAGUAUUUCUGCACAGCUGAACAGAGGGAAAGAAGGCCCAGGAGGCACCCAGGUUGAUCACACCUGGUGUUAAAAAUCCUGAGGAACCCUGGCUGAUGACGCAGCAGGAACUGAAGAACCAGCUGCUGGGCAGGCCUGUGGGCUGUGAGGCGUGUGACAGAGGGAGCCUUGCCGGCACUUCAGCUGUGCCUGGCUCCCAGAUGCACCCCGUGCAAAGGGAGGAGUGAAGUGGUCCCAGGUGUCCAAAUGAAAUAUACGUCAAAUCAAAGUCAGUGGAAGCACCAGGAUUCACAGGAGGAGAGACUUAAUUGCAGGGGAAUUCAGCGCUGCCUCCAGGCAUGUUUGCAUUGAGCUUGAUAAUGACUGGGUGAGAAACAGGAGCUAGAGACACUUAAGGAACCGUG